rfam:Rattus norvegicus chromosome 5, whole genome shotgun sequence.
GGGGAUUUAGCUCAGUGGUAGAGCGCUUGCCUAGAAAAUGCAAGGCCCUGGGUUCGGUCCCCAGCUCCG